rnacentral:rRNA from 1 species
GUUGAACGCUGGCGGCAGGCCUAACACAUGCAAGUCGAGCGGAUGAAGGGAGCUUGCUCCUGGAUUCAGCGGCGGACGGGUGAGUAAUGCCUAGGAAUCUGCCUGGUAGUGGGGGAUAACGUACGGAAACGGGCGCUAAUACAGAAUACGUCAUGAGGGAGGAAGUGGGGGAUCUUCGGACCUCACGCUAUCAGAUGAGCCUAGGUCGGAUUAGCUAGUUGGUGGGGUAAAGGCCUACCAAGGCGACGAUCCGUAACUGGUCUGAGAGGAUGAUCAGUCACACUGGAACUGAGACACGGUCCAGACUCCUACGGGAGGCAGCAGUGGGGAAUAUUGGACAAUGGGCGAAAGCCUGAUCCAGCCAUGCCGCGUGUGUGAAGAAGGUCUUCGGAUUGUAAAGCACUUUAAGUUGGGAGGAAGGGCAGUAAGUUAAUACCUUGCUGUUUUGACGUUACCAACAUAAUAAGCACCGGCUAACUUCGUG